rfam:Picoides pubescens contig53239, whole genome shotgun sequence.
GACACUUCCCAGCUGUUGGCUAAGAUCAAGUACAUCAUCUGUUCUCAUCACUUCAAUAUCUGAUACAUUUUCAGCCUGAAGAUUUUAUAUUAAACAAAUCUGGAGGCCAUGGAAAGGAAUAACCACUUCCUCCAUUCACUCUGUACAUCAACCCAAAACUGCAGUGCUUUCAGGUACUGUGGCUGCAUU